GGGCUUCAAAUUCCCCUGUUGAAAAAAUGGAAAGAACUACGUUUUUGAGUGGCUAGCUCUAUACGAAAAUAGUAGAUAAUAGAUAAAAGCAGACACUUAGCUGUUGGAACUUCCCUUAUUCCCUUUAUCAAGCAUAAUGAUGUAAUUUAGGCUUUUGAUUUGAGUUCUAAUAUGCAAUGUCGAGUUUCUCCAAAAAAAAAGCCUAAAUUACAUCACUAUGCUUGA
rnacentral:misc_RNA from 1 species